rnacentral:rRNA from 1 species
GGGUCAGUAGGUUGGUCGUGCCACCGGUACGUACUGGUCUCACUGAUUCCUCCUUCCUGAAGAACCGUAAUGCCAUUAAUUUGGUGUUGCGGGGAAACAGGACUGUUACUCUGAAAAAAUUAGAGUGUUUAAAGCAAGCUAACGCUUGAAUACAUUAGCAUGGAAUGAUGAAACAGGACGAUCGAUCCUAUUUUGUUGGUUUCUAGGAUUGACGUA